rnacentral:rRNA from 1 species
CUACGGGGUGCUGCAGUAGGGAAUAUUGCACAAUGGGCGCAAGCCUGAUGCAGCCAUGCCGCGUGUAUGAAGAAGGCCUUCGGGUUGUAAAGUACUUUCAGCGGGGAGGAAGGGAGUAAAGUUAAUACCUUUGCUCAUUGACGUUACCCGCAGAAGAAGCACCGGCGAACUCCGUGCCAGCAGCCGCGGUAAUACGGAGGGUGCAAGCGUUAAUCGGAAUUACUGGGCGUAAAGCGCACGCAGGCGGUUUGUUAAGUCAGAUGUGAAAUCCCCGGGCUCAACCUGGGAACUGCAUCUGAUACUGGCAAGCUUGAGUCUCGUAGAGGGGGGUAGAAGUCCAGGUGUAGCGGUGAAAUGCGUAGAGAUCUGGAGGAAUACCGGUGGCGAAGGCGGCCCCCUGGACGAAGACUGACGCUCAGGUGCGAAAGCGUGGGGAGCAAACAGGAUUAGAUACCCCGGUAGUC